rnacentral:lncRNA from 11 species
AGAGAGAAGGUGCUUUGUGAUAUGGCUAAGGGCUACAUUUAUUGAUUGAUUGACUUUGAGUAGCACACAUAGAGUAAAUUCAUAUGUAAUUCUCAAUAGUAAUAAUUGCUUGUGUAAGUGGCUUUGUGAGCAGCGCAGUGGGUCAAGAAGGAACUUUCCCACAGCUGUGGCUCCUCCCUUCAUGAUCUAGGUAAGCUGAUUGGUUUGAUGGGAGGAAAUGCAAUAUCACCACAAAUAAAAGAGAUUUCUUGGGAGGCAAUAGUUAGAACUUUUAAUCAUCUGGAAAGGCUAUCAAAAGCAAUAGAAAAAUAUAUAUUGAAGAACGAACAUUUUCCUUCCGGAUAUAUAGGCAUCUCUAGCGGUUUGAUAUUUAACAUUUUGUGUCAUACAUUUGAGAAUUCAACAUGUGUCACAUAUGUUUCCACUGUCACUCUUUCAGAAGUCCUUUCUAAGAUGGAGAUACCAGUUUGAGCUAGUAAUAUGUAAGAGGAGGAGAAGAAGAGGAAAUGUUGGUGGCUGUGGCUUCCUUAGCAGAGAAGCCACAAUGGAGCUUCAGCACCUGCUUCCAUAUCUUUGAUGGCUUCUGUCUGUUCUCCCACUCUUCCUGGACGUGGUGGAAACCUUAGUUUAGUUGUUGGUACAUGUGGUGGAGCUCAGGAUGGAGACUCGUUUCUGUAUGAGACUAAAUCAUUGUGGGGACAGGGGGCACAAUGAUACAUUUCUCUGAGAGGGCUUUACAAAAACCCUCCCUUAACUAAAUUAAUGGGAUCUUGCCAGGAUUUUGCAACAGAUGUCCAAUUUUGGACAUUUGUGUCCAUCUAUGUCCAAUUCUGAGCCCCACAAUUUAAGAGGGAUGUUGGCAAGCUGGAAGGUGUCCAGAGAAAGGCGACAAAAAUGAUCAAGGGUCUGGAGAACAAGCCCUAUGAGGAGCGGCUUAAAGAGCUGGGCAUGUUUAGCCUGCAGAAGAGAAGGCUGAGAGGAGACAUGAUGAGGGCCAUGUAUCAAGAUGUGAGGGGAAGUCAUAGGGAAGAGAGAGCAAGCUUGUUUCUGCUGCCCUGGAGACAAGGACGCAAAACAACGACUUCAAAUACAAGAAAGGAGUUUCCAACUGAACAUUAGGAAAAACUUCCUCACUGUGAGAACUAUUCAGCAGUGGAACUUCUUGCCCUGGAGUGUGGUGGAAGCUCAUUCUUUGGAGACUUUUAAACAGAGACUGGAUGGCCAUCUGACGGG